AGCUCCACACAGCUCACCCCUGCUAUCAGGACUCGGGGCUCCACCCCAGACCACACUUCUGGACUCAAGGCCACUUCCUCUGCAACUGUAAGUCAAGACGUUCUUAGCCAGCAUCUCUGCAAUCUCACCUCAGCUCCCACUCUCCCUCAGGAGCACCAGCCCUGGCCUCAGCUGGUUGUCACUCAUCCUACCCAGUGUCCAGAGCACCCACUAGGAUCCACCCCCUUACCCAGCUGGAUCACUGAGGCCAAUGGGACCACAGACCAUAAGGGAAGCUGCCAAGGCUGAGGCCUGGAAAAGGGACUGGAUGGCUACCCCACCCCCAAGCCAUCCCUACUCUGGAGCUUGAUGGAGAGCCAGCAUCAGCAUUGACCAGGAAGGAUCAGGGGCCCCAGAUAAAGACAGGAUGGCCUAAUGACCAGGACCAGCAUGGACACACAAAGAAAAUACAGAACAGUGAGAGGAAAGAGGAAGAGUGAAGAAGGGAGAUUGAUUUGGCUCUGCUAUGAGAGUGAGCUAUUUUCUACAUCCACUGAUUGGAGGUAUAAAUAAAGAUGGAUCAGACCUUGUGGAGAGGGGAGUAGAGA